ensembl:lncRNA
AUGUGGGGAGCGCUCACUUGGAGGAAUGGUCUUAUGGAGCCCUGGUGUCACGAGGCAGGCACUGUUGCCUUCUGCUGUCAGAGGCAGAGAAUCCUGAACCCUGAGAAGACACUGUGGCCCUGCGGACCUUGGCGGUCACCGGUGAACAUCUGGAAGGGAGGAGGCACCCGGGAGAAGGAGGCACCCGGGAGAAGGUGGCUAUAUUUCCCUCAAGCCCAUGUGGAUGACCGCUGGGAUGCCAGAGUCCCUGGGGCUUCACUUCCUUACAUGUCAGUCCAUUGA